GAUGAACGCUGGCGGCGUGCCUAAUACAUGCAAGUCGAGCGAACAGAUGAGGAGCUUGCUCCUCUGACGUUAGCGGCGGACGGGUGAGUAACACGUGGAUAACCUACCUAUAAGACUGGGAUAACUUCGGGAAACCGGAGCUAAUACCGGAUAAUAUAUUGAACCGCAUGGUUCAAUAGUGAAAGACGGUUUUGCUGUCACUUAUAGAUGGAUCCGCGCCGCAUUAGCUAGUUGGUAAGGUAACGGCUUACCAAGGCAACGAUGCGUAGCCGACCUGAGAGGGUGAACCGGCACACUGGAACUGAGACACGGUCCAGACUCCUACGGGAGGCAGCAGUAGGGAAUCUUCCGCAAUGGGCGAAAGCCUGACGGAGCAACGCCGCGUGAGUGAUGAAGGUCUUCGGAUCGUAAAACUCUGUUAUUAGGGAAGAAAAAAUGUGUAAGUAACUAUGCACGUCUUGACGGUACCUAAUCAGAAAGCCACGGCUAACUACGUG
rnacentral:rRNA from 1 species